AAGCUUCGACCAAGGUUCGACUCGAGCGCCAGCGAGAGAGCGUUGCCGCAGGCAACGACCCGAAGGGCGAAGCGCGCAGCGCUGAGUAAUCCUUCCCCCACCACCA
rnacentral:sRNA from 1 species